rnacentral:lncRNA from 1 species
GGGGUUUCUGUGGACCAGCCUUUUAGAGGGGCACGGUAAACCCCAUUAUAUUCUUACCUCGAACGGAGAGGCGUGUAGGGUAUCUCCUAGGGUAAAGCUUAGGGUUCACUUCACGCCAAACCACCAUGUGAGGGGGAACUCAGCCAACGCUAAGGAACGGCUAAGUUUUCAAAAUAAAAACAUGAUUUAUGCGAAAUGUGAAUUUUUAACAGCUUUGGCGGUCUCGGUAGGAUGCCUCGGCCAAGGUGUCCUCGAGAAUGGAUUUAUG